UACGAAGGGGGCUAGCGUUGUUCGGAAUCACUGGGCGUAAAGGGCGCGUAGGCGGCUUUAUAAGUCGGGGGUGAAAGCCUGUGGCUCAACCACAGAAUUGCCUUCGAUACUGUAGAGCUUGAGACCGGAAGAGGUAAGUGGAACUGCGAGUGUAGAGGUGAAAUUCGUAGAUAUUCGCAAGAACACCAGUGGCGAAGGCGGCUCACUGGCCCGGUACUGACGCUGAGGUGCGAAAGCGUGGGGAGCAAACAGG
rnacentral:rRNA from 1 species